rnacentral:rRNA from 1 species
AGUGAACGCUGGCGGUAGGCCUAACACAUGCAAGUCGAACGGCAGCACAGUAAGAGCUUGCUCUUACGGGUGGCGAGUGGCGGACGGGUGAGGAAUACAUCGGAAUCUACUUUUUCGUGGGGGAUAACGUAGGGAAACUUACGCUAAUACCGCAUACGACCUACGGGUGAAAGCAGGGGAUCUUCGGACCUUGCGCGAUUGAAUGAGCCGAUGUCGGAUUAGCUAGUUGGCGGGGUAAAGGCCCACCAAGGCGACGAUCCGUAGCUGGUCUGAGAGGAUGAUCAGCCACACUGGAACUGAGACACGGUCCAGACUCCUACGGGAGGCAGCAGUGGGGAAUAUUGGACAAAGGGCGCAAGCCUGAUCCAGCCAUACCGCGUGGGUGAAGAAGGCCUUCGGGUUGUAAAGCCCUUUUGUUGGGAAAGAAAAGCAGCAGGUUAAUACCCCGCUGUUCUGACGGUACCCAAAGAAUAAGCACCGGCUAACUUCGAG